rnacentral:rRNA from 1 species
UACGGAGGAUGCAAGCGUUAUCCGGAAUGAUUGGGCGUAAAGGGUCCGUAGGUGGCAGUGUAAGUCUGCUGUCAAAGAAUGAGGCUUAACCUCAUCAAGGCAGUGGAAACUACACAGCUAGAGUACGGUCGGGGUAGAAGGAAUUCCUGGUGUAGCGGUGAAAUGCGUAGAGAUCAGGAAGAACACCGGUGGCGAAAGCGUUCUGCUAGACCUGUACUGACACUGAGGGACGAAAGCUAGGGGAGCGAAUGGG